rnacentral:rRNA from 1 species
GAUGAACGCUGGCGGCGUGCCUAAUACAUGCAAGUCGAGCGAACAGAUGAGGAGCUUGCUCCUCUGACGUUAGCGGCGGACGGGUGAGUAACACGUGGAUAACCUACCUAUAAGACUGGGAUAACUUCGGGAAACCGGAGCUAAUACCGGAUAAUAUAUUGAACCGCAUGGUUCAAUAGUGAAAGACGGUUUUGCUGUCACUUAUAGAUGGAUCCGCGCCGCAUUAGCUAGUUGGUAAGGUAACGGCUUACCAAGGCAACGAUGCGUAGCCGACCUGAGAGGGUGAUCGGCCACACUGGAACUGAGACACGGUCCAGACUCCUACGGGAGGCAGCAGUAGGGAAUCUUCCGCAAUGGGCGAAAGCCUGACGGAGCAACGCCGCGUGAGUGAUGAAGGUCUUCGGAUCGUAAAACUCUGUUAUUAGGGAAGGACAAAUGUGUAAGUAACUAUGCACGUCUUGACGGUACCUAAUCAGAAAGCCACGGCUAACUACGUG